AUGUCAGCUGGGGACACAGGGUCAUCUGAGGCUCCAAUGGGGAAGGAUCUGCCUCCAAAUUACAUGGUCGUUGGCAGCCUUCAGUUCCUUAUAGGAGGUUUCUUUCUUCAGCUGUCAGCUCCACAUCCAUCCCUGCUAAUUUCUUCACUGACUCCACCAUUUCUACAAGGGAAAAGCAAAAUCCCGGGUCCCUCAGACAAAAGGGCGGGUGGAGGAGGAGAAGCCGAGCCCAGAGUCCUGCUCCGGCGCCGCCCGAGCACCGCCCGCCUCAGCCGACCAGCCCCGUCGACUACUGGGCCUAGCCCAGACGAGAGGAGGGAAAGGCCGCAGAGGCCGCGAGGAUGCUGCGGAGGCGCGGGCGGCCGGCUGCCGCCUAGUUGUGCAGCCCAGACCAAGGAAAGAGAAGUGGGAGGAGCGGGGAGCUCGGCGUCCCGCGUCCUCCGCGGCUCAGGACGACUACGCUCGGCACGUCCGGGACCCUCCGGCCGUGGCGGUUGCAGCGCCAAAAGCUCGGGCCUCAGCCCCUGCCGCUGUGGUGACUCCGCCGCGCCUCGCCGUCGCUCCUGUCCCCGUCCUGCCCGCCGCCUCCGCCGCUGGGGACAUGUCCAACCCCGGAAGCCGGAGGAACGGGCCUGUCAAGCUGCACCUGACAGGUAUAUUGAAAAGUCUGAUUCAGUUACAAUCAGUGUAUGGAAUCACAAGAAGAUCCAUAAGAAACAAGGUGCUGGAUUUCUCCGUUGUGUUCAUCUUCUUUCCAGUGCCAUCAACCACCUCAAAGACACUGGUUCAGGAAGAGCUACAGCGGGGAGAAAAGGAUCUUUGCUGAUGUUGAACAUCAACAGGGAAACCAGGCCUGAGCGGAUUCGCACAUGACAUCUCCCUGGACACAGGGAUGGGUUCACAAAGGGGUUGGAGUCACUGAGAUGUGAGGAGAAGUCUGCUGGCAGCUUCUGGGACAUUACACCCUGGUGCUGAAGAGAUUGCUGCCGGAAGAGGCUGUCUUCCUGGGCAUGUUGUCAGCAAAUGGAAACCUAACAGAGACACUAUAAAGGCGACUAUUCCAAUGCUUCUGGAAUUGGUGCUGGGAGAACCCUGACAGAGCCCUUCUCCUCUGCUGUCUUGGAGGGCUGGGGGCGGGCCGACCCAGCACACAGGAGGCCUGCACCUCAGAUCCUCCUGGCUGAACCAGGCAGCAGAUCCACGCCGCGGGG